rnacentral:rRNA from 1 species
GAUGAACGCUGGCGGCGUGCCUAAUACAUGCAAGUCGAGCGAACGGACGAGAAGCUUUCUUCUCUGAUGUUAGCGGCGGACGGGGGAGUAACACGUGGAUAACCUACCUAUAAGACUGGGAGAACUUCGGGAAACCGUAGCUAAUACCGGAUAAUAUUUUGAACCGCAUGGUUCAAAAGUGAAAGACGGUCUUGCUGUCGCUUAUAGAUGGAUCCGCGCUGCAUUAGCUAGUUGGUAAGGUAACGGCUUACCAAGGCAACGAUGCAUAGCCGACCUGAGAGGGUGAUCGGCCACACUGGAACUGAGACACGGUCCAGACUCCUACGGGAGGCAGCAGUAGGGAAUCUUCCGGAAUGGGCGAAAGCCUGACGGAGCAGCGCCGCGUGAGUGAUGAAGGUCUUCGGAUCGUAAAACUCUGUUAUUAGGGAAGAACAUAUGUGUAAGUAACUGUGCACAUCUUGACGGUACCUAAUCAGAAAGCCACGGCUAACUACGUG